rnacentral:rRNA from 1 species
GAAUCAACGCUGGCGGCGUGCCUAACACAUGCAAGUCGAACGAGAAAGUGGAGCAAUCCAUGAGUAAAGUGGCGACCGGGUGAGUAACACGUGACCAACCUGCCCUCCAGUGGGGAAUAACGCCGGGAAACCGGGGCUAAUACCGCAUAACAUCUUCGAGACGCCGGUCUUGGGGAUCAAAGGAGCAAUUCGCUGGAGGAGGGGGUCGCGGCUGAUUAGCUAGUUGGCGGGGUAACGGCCCACCAAGGCGAAGAUCGGUAUCCGGCCUGAGAGGGCGCACGGACACACUGGAACUGAAACACGGUCCAGACUCCUACGGGAGGCAGCAGUGGGGAAUUUUGCGCAAUGGGGGAAACCCUGACGCAGCAACGCCGCGUGGAGGAUGAAGUCCCUUGGGACGUAAACUCCUUUCGACCGGGACGAUAAUGACGGUACUGGUGGAAGAAGCACCGGCUAACUCUGUGCCAGCAGCCGCGGUAAUACAGAGGGUGCGAGCGUUGU